GGCUAUGUAGCUCAGCUGGUUAGAGCGCAGCAUUCAUAAUGCUGAUGUCCGUGGUUCAAAUCCACGCAUAGCUACCA
rnacentral:tRNA from 2 species